UAGAGCACCAAAAUUAGAGCUUUCUAGAGAAAACCCUAAUCAUCAGCCGUCAGCUGUGGUAAAACAAUCUAGUGGCUCCAGGAACUAAACCCAGAAAAGUCAUAAAAAAGAAAAAAAAACCAACAAAUCUAGGAUGUCUUAGACAUUAAAAAGUAAGAAUCUUUAACCAGGCGAGACGAGAAGAAACCAUUGUGUUGCGCGAGCUUCUGCAAUUGUAUGGAAGAGUAAACAAAACCCUAGAGAGAGAGAGGUACGGGAACUCCAAUGGAGAAAUUGGGAGGAUUAUAAGAUUGGAGCAAAGGAGAUCGAAGUGUAAGAUGUAGAGCAGAGAGUGGGAAAUAUUUUCCAAAUUCACACUUUUUCAAUUCUCUGAGCUGUUUUGUUUCAUUGGUAAAAGGGAAAGUUUUUCUUCCUUUCUCUUGUUUUUUCUCAUAUCCUUCUUUUUUGGUGAAGAUCUCCACACAAACAGUAACCAGCACUAUCGCUUCUCCGACCUCUCCAAAAGAUGGUGAAUUGAUUUUUUUUUUUUACAUUUAUUAAAGUUUUUUUGGUAAUUACUAAUUAAUUGCUUUUAUAAUUGUGAUUAUAUCAUUUUAUAUUUUAAUUCAACGAAUUGCAAUUAUAUCUAGGUUAAAUUUACAUCAUUUGUAUUUACUUUUUUUUUGUCAAAUCAUUUUUAUUUGCUUGUAAUGAUCUAAAUCUAUAAAUAAUAGUGAAAACAAUGGUAAAUAUAUUAGAUCGGAAAAAAAAAACUCAUUAUAAAAAUUUACAAGAUAUAAAUUUAUAUUAAUUAUAAUUGCUGUACAAGUUUAAAAUACUUACUGUACAAGUUUCAUAAUUUUAUUACAAAACAUAUCCAAACCUUUAACUAAAGAUACUUUUCUUUCGGACAUUAAAAAAAAACUAAGUACCUGUCUGCUGCGCACGGACAUAAUUACUAUACAAAUUUUGUUAUAAUUUAAUUAUAUCAAAUUCUUUACUUAACAUAUUUUGUAAUUUUUUUAUCAGAUUUAGAAAGUUUUUCUAAUAUAUACGUGACAUUCUCCAUUUUCAAUAUUUGAAACUAAAAUAUUAGAUAUCCAUAAAUUACAAAAAUUUAUUGAAUUAUUUAUUAUUCUAAAUUGAUUCAUAUAAUCCAUGUAUUAACAUUAUUUAACAAUCUUAUACACUUAUAAAUAGAUAUAUAUAUAUAUAACGUAAUAUAAGAAGUACUAUAUUAAAUGUCUAUACUGUAUAACUUUAGUGGAUAUAUAUAAUAUAAUAUAAGAAGUACUAUAUGAAACGAUAACCAAAUACAAAUUAUUUAUUAUUCUAAAUUGAUUCAUAUAGCCCAUGUAUUAACGUUAUUUAACAAUCAUCUAUAUUUAUAAAUAGAUAGUUUUAUAUAUAUAUAUAUAUAACAUAAUAUAAAAAGUACUAUAAUAAAUGUCUCUACUAUAUAACUUUAGUGGAUAUAUAUAACGUAAUAUAAGAAGUACUAUACUAAACUAUAACCAAAUGCAAAGGAAAAUAUAAUAAAAGAAAUAUCAAAUAAAAUAGAAAGAUUCAACAUAACAUAAGAUAGAAAGCCUUGUCAUGAGAAAAAAAGAAAUGUAGCUUAUACAAUGAUAUUCAGUCUUGUUGCAUGGAAUUUAAAGCGAUAAAAAUUAAAACUCCAUCAUAAUCAAACGAUUUUGUUCAGGGGUCUUUUUUUGUGCUUGUUCCAACUUGCGUCUCCGUCAUGUUAAACUUGUUUCGAAUCCUGAAAGCUUAAGAGACACAUAUGUAUUUAAAGGUUAUUGUAUAUAUAAAAUAUUCUCAAUAUCAUUGUCGGAUUACUUAUUUUCUAUUGAAAAUUAGGACAUCAUCCGUAGUAGGAGCAAAGAGAAGACGGGAAAAACCAAUUGCAUCAUGAGCAUGGAUAGUUAUUUUAUCUAUAUACAUAAAACGAUCAGUAAGAACUAUACAUGCAAAAUAAAACAUUUAUGAAAUUAAUGAAGAUAAUAAUGACAUAUGCUUCAUGACCCAUACCUUCUUUUUUCUUUACGCUCUAAUUGUUUAAAACACAAACUGCAAGAGGACCAAUGAAUCAUUUACUUCUUUCUUUGAUGUUAGCAGCAAAUUCCACGUGUAAGAUACAUUUCAAUUUCAAAUCCCUUCGAUUUAACAAUAAAAGUUAUAAACUUUAUUACCAAGUCAUAGUGAUCAUGAAAGAAAAUAUUGCUUACUCGAGAUCUGUAAUGAUGAAAGUUAUUUUCCUAACAGUAUCUCCAUCAGGAUUGUUUGCGGCACGCGGUCAUAAUACUCUAGAAUUACAUAAAAUAUUAAAUUUAAUUAUUCAUUUUUUAAUUUCAUUACUAUUAGAUUUGUAAUUGAUUCUUUUGAAAUUAAAAGUUUUUAAAAGUCUCUACAAACAUUUGCUAUAAAUUGCUGAUGUUAAUUUUAAUUGACAUAACUUUAUUAUAUAUAACAUUAAACGUAAAGUAAAAAAUUAAAAAAAUAAACGGUAUUAGAUCCUUAAUGAAAACACAUUAAUAAGUUUUUUUUUUAAAAUACAUGUAGUGAAAUCUCUUUAGAUUCUUUUAAAUAUAAAAUUGCUAUUUAUACAAAAAAUAUAUAAUUAUAAUUACAUAUUAAAUUUAUAGAUAAUUAAUUUGUACAAUUAUUCAUGUUAAAAUUUCAUUAUUCUGUAGACUUUUCAAUGAUGAUUUUAAAAUUAAAAUCUCCAAAAGAGUAUAUUCUCUAAAACCAUUCGCUACAAAUCGUUGAUAUAUUAUAAUAGGAGUGAUUUUUCAAAUACAUAUAUUACAUAUAUUACAUGUUCGUAACCUAUAAGAAUGUUAAACCUAUAUUAUUUAUUGAGUUUGUAAAUGAUUUAUUUGAAGAUACGAUUAGAGAAUACGUCUUCAAUCGUUAGAAUCUUCUUUGGCAACAUUUCCACACGCUUUGGAUUUAAAAUAUUUAUAAAUAUCUUGAAGCGCACAUGAUUUUUUAGUCUUUUUAUAGAGGGGGAAUUGCUAAAAAUAGGCCACAAUUUGAUUCCAAAUGCAAAAGUAUACCCCAAAUUCAACCUAUUGCAAAAAUAGGUCAGAUGGGUAGAGAAAUUACCAUUAUCUCCUACAUGAGUAAACAAUAAAACGGAUGUCUCAAUUACGAUUAUAACCCUUCGAAGUCUGCAAAUACUAAUGAAGUCUGCUCAGCAGACUGAUAAAGAAGUCUACUAUAAUAUUAAAAUUAUUUUUAAAUUUAAAAAUUAUAUAAAAAUAAUGUAAACUGAAGUUUGUUUCCAUAAAUCAAAUGUCAACAAGUAUGAUCUAUAAAAAUUAUAAUUUAAUAAAUAUGAAUCAUUUUUAACCAUCUAAGAUAAACAUAAAAAGUGAAAAGUUUUAAACUAAGGCUGCAGACUUCUUUAUCAGUCUGCAAAGCAAACUUAUAAGAAGUCUGCUAUAUUAUUAAAUUUUAUAUUUAAAAUUUAAAAUUAUAUAAAAAUAAUUUAAAUUAAAAUUUGUUUCUAUAAAUCAAAUGUCAACAAGUAUGAUCUAUAUAAAUUAUAAUUUAAUAAAAUAAAUCAUUUUAAACCAUCUAAGAUAAAUAUCAAAAAUGAAUAAUUUUAAACUAGGGUUGUAGACUUCUUUAUAAGUCUGCUCAAACCGUAAACGAAAUUAAAAUAAAAUAUUGAUUUAAAUCGGAAAUAAUUAACCUAACCAGAUAUAACCGGAUAUUUUUGCCCUAUUAUAUAAAUGAGAUUUUACCCUAAUUCAGAAACUCUCCACUCUGAUCCCUCUCUCCAAAAACGGCGCUGCAUUUUCUCUGUUGCUGUAACCUCUUUCUUUCUGUUCUCCAUUUUUGCUAUGUUCUUCGUUCACUUGAGUUCGGAUCUGCAAUCAUCUACAACAAGGACCCAGCUUCGGACGACCUCGUAAGAAUCUGUCCCAUUUAAUUAUUUUACAAAUUUUUGUUGAUUUCAUCUUCUUCUAAUGCUAUUUUGGUCGUUUUCUUUGUUAUUUCAUCUUAUUGUUAGUACCGAUCAACCAGAACAACACACCUCCUUCUCCUCCGCCGUAAUCGUAACCGCCUCCGAUGAGAAGGAUGAUUCGAACAAGCAGAUCGUUCCGGCGUUUAUCACGAAAUCGGAGACGAAGAAGGAAAAUAUUCGGCCGGUGACGGAAUUUCGGAGGACGGAAUCGGCGAUAGAGAGACUGAGCAGUGAGGAGUUUCGUUUGAAGGUAGAGAAAUUCAUAAUGGAGAAGAAGAGGAGUCUCGUUCUGGAAAACGACGCCGUCCAAUGGCAAGGGCUUGUUUGUGCUGUCUCAGGCUAUGGCUCGUGCUAAAAACACAUAUAACUUGGAAGAUAAUUUUAGGAGCCGGUGACUUUUUAGAUUCGCUGGUCUUUAUGCUCUCAUCAUCAGAGAUGCUUAUGUUUUACGACGUUUAUCUUUAUUACUAAUAAUAAUAUAAACCAGUGUUCUAAAAAUCGGUUUCUUCGGCCGCCUAGGCACCGAGUAGGCGCUAAUAGAUGGUGGACCGCCCCGAUUUGGCUAUAAUCGGUUAAAAAAUCGGGUAAAAUGAAAAAAUUAUCUAAAACUUAAUUUUUUGGUUAUAAAUCGGUAAACUAAUGAAAGAUUUAAGCUAUUUUGAUCAAGAUAUGUGUGUAACUGAUGAAAAAAAGGUAGAUAUAUGAAAAUGUCAGAAGAAAAAAAACAGGGACAAUGGUGGCCACUAGGGUUUUUAGGGGAAGAAGAUGACUCAUGGAAAAAUGACGAUUUUAUCCUUCUCAUUUAAGUAAAAAACAAGACAAAUGCUCUUUAAAAGUCUCGAACCUCGGGUUGGAAGCAAUAAAUAUGACUCCCUAACCACUACACACAUAUAGGUCAUAUAUUCAACUUUACUAAUAUAUAACCUUUAUAUAUAUAAAAUCAUAAAAAAAUAACCAAAAUUGGAAGCAUAAUGGUUCGAACCCACGUACUUUGGGCAACAAGAGGAUAUGUUUCCACCAGACCACAAGAGUUUGUUAACGUUGUAUGCGUUAAUAAAGUAAUUUAUAUACUAUCAAGACCGUUAACAAAAGUGGCCAAUAGUUAAAGUUGAAUACAAACCAUGACAGGUAAAUGCAAGAAUAACUGAUUUUUCAAUCUUAUACAAAUGCAAGAACAAUAACAACUAAAAAUAAUUGAAAGGAAGUAGACUUCUAAACUUCUUUAGAAGUCUGCUAAAUCAAACAAGAAAAUUCAUUACUUUGUAAUUAUAACACAUAAUAACGUCAAAUUCAUAUAGAUGCAACAUAAAAAACAAAUAAACAUGUCAAGACAAGAAAAUUAUUUUUACAAGUAACAAAUAUUUCAAAAAUGAAUUUAAAAAAAAAAUAAUUAGGCAGACUUCUUAUGAGUCUGCUAUGAUAUGCUAAUACGUAACAGCAGACUUCAUCUACAGACUUUUUUUAGAAGUCUGCUUAGAUGUGCUAAUUACCUUUUAAAUCAAGAAAAUUCAUAACUUUAUAAUUAUAACACAUAAACACACCAAACUCAUACAAGUGAAAGAAUCAUACCUAAAAUGCAUUUACAAAUUUAAAAAAUUAAAAAAACAUUACAAAUAUUUUAUAAAAUUGCAAUUUAUUUUUUUUUUUAAAUGCAGACAUCCGUUCAAAGUCCGCUGGGAAAAUUUCACGUUGAAAUCUUCUAGAAAAAAGGUUAUUUUUGCAUUUGACCAAAUAUUUGACUUUUCGUAGCAGACUUCUUUUUGCAGGCUGCAAGAAAAAAAUGUUAUUUUUCCAAUUGACCAAAAGUUUGACUUUUAGAGCAGACUUCUUUAGAAAAGUCUGCUUAUGAAGUCUACUCUACAAAAAAAGUCUACUCGAGGUUAUUUUUGUAAUUGACCAAAAUUAGAAGUCUGCUAUAAAAGUCAAAGAUCGACAAUUUUUUUGGUCAAAUGCAAAACUAAUCUUUUCUUCUCGCCGAUUGCAAAAGAAGUCUACAUGAUUUUUUUGUUUACAAAGGACAAUUCGCAGCUUACAAAAAUAUGAAAAAAGUCAAUUGCAAAUCUAACAUUUGCGUUGACUAGCAGACUGAAAAAGAAGUCUGCUUUCGCGAAACAGAGUUAAAUGUUAAAGAAAAUGAAGUAGAUGUUUACCUACUUCCAAUUUAAACUCGAUUAACUUUGACAUACACCCAUAAUUUUGUAUAGCACCGAUAGCAAACUAGCUAAGUCGUUGUUAUGCAAGAAUCUCCAAAAAUAGAUGAUUUAUGAAAUUGAAAAUUAUGAAAAAGAGCAUGGAAGAGUUUUUUAGAUGAAAUUGGAGAGAAAUUUGUAGGUAAAAUGAAGUUAUAAGCGACACAAUAAGCAUUUAGAGCUUCAAAAUUGGUUGGGCAAACAUUUAGAGCUUCAAAAUUGGUUGGUAAUGGUGGUUGGCAAAAUUGAAGAAGAUGGCAUUUUCGUAAAUAAGUGAUAUAUUUUAGGAUGGUUGUGUAUUUUUGCUAUUUUUCAGAAAAAAUAAAAAUUGAAAACAUAAUGGCAUUUUCGUGAAUAUAUGUGGUUGUGAGGAGAUAGUAGGAAGAAAAUGACAUUUGUUGAAGAAGGAGAAAAAAGGGGUUAUUUUUGCAUUUGACUUCAAAUUAUGGGUCAUAUGUGCAAGUAUCCCUUUUAUAGAAAAACGUUAUUAGUUUAUUAUUCAAAACUACAUUAUAACCAAUUGUCAAAUUAUUUCAUGAUCUCAAAAUGUUUAAUUCUCUAAUUGUUAUAGUUGAAUAUGGAACUACAAAAACGAUGAAACCAAAUUAUUAUGUAUUUAGUUUUGAUUAUGUAUACACAUUAUACUAUUCUCUUUAAUUAUUUGUAGUUUUAAAUUAUAGUAACCAAAAAAAUUAUGUCAAGAUAUAAAAGUUUUACUUUCUGAGUUCUACUUCAUAAACUUUUAGUUUUCUUCCUCAUCUUCUUUAUUUUUUAUUUUUUUUCAUCUUCUACUUCAUCAUUUUCGAGUUCUACUUCUUCUUCUUCUUCCUUAUCAUCUUGGUCUUCUUUGAAUUCUCCUUCUUUUGUUUUUUGAUUUUUGUCAUCUUAGGUUUUUUUCUUUUGUCUUUUUCUUACUUAUCUAAUCUAUGUUUUCUUCCUCUUAUACUUUGUCUUCAUCUAAUUAUUCUUCUUAAUUUUUCAUUUUUUCUUCUUUCUCAUAUUUUCUUUCUUCUUUUUCCUCUUCUUUGACUUCCUUUUCACAAUCUUCUUAUUCUCCAACUCAUUAUUCUUUUUUUUUUCCCACAUUAACACCUCGUCUUUUUCUUCAUUUUUUUAUCUUUUUAAAAAUUUUAUACAUCAUCUAGACCUUAUUAUACUUUGUCUACAUCAUUUUCUGAGUUUAUUCUUCUUCCACUUAUGUUUCUUAAUCUUUUAGUUUUCUUAUUUUGCUUUAACUUUCUCUCUUUUUAUCAUUACCCUUUUUUGUUAUUUUGCACUAUCCAUCUUUUUCAUAAUCUAUCGUGUUUGUCUUCUUUGUCUUCUUAUUCUUUAAGUUUUCUUAAUCUCUUUUGUCAUCUUUACAUUUUCAUACUUACCCUUUUAAGGAAAUUAAGAGAAUAAAUCAGUGUAGAGCACCAAAAUUAGAGCUUUCUAGAGAAAACCCUAAUCAUUAGCCGUCAGCUGUGGUAAAACAAUCUAGUGGUUCCAGGAACUAAACCCAGAAAAGUCAUAAAAAAGAAAAAACCAAACAAAUCUAGGAUGUCUUGUACAUUAAAAAGUAAGAAUCUUUAACCAGCGAGACGAGAAGAAACCAUUGUGUUUCGCGUGCUUCUGCAAUUUCGUAUGGGAGAGAAAACAAACCCUAGACAGAGAGAGAGAGAGGUACGGGAACUCCAAUGGAGAAAUUGGGAGGAUUAU
rnacentral:lncRNA from 1 species